UACGGGGGGGGCAAGCGUUGUUCGGAAUUACUGGGCGUAAAGGGCUCGUAGGCGGCCAACUAAGUCAGACGUGAAAUCCCCAGGCUUAACCUGGGAACUGCGUCUGAUACUGGAUGGCUUGAAUUCGGGAGAGGGAUGCAGAAUUCCAGGUGUAGCGGUGGAAUGCGCAGAUAUCAGGAGGAACACCGGUGGCGAAGGCGGUUCUCUGGGCAUUACCUGACGCUGAGGAGCGAAAGUGUGGGGAGCGAACAGG
rnacentral:rRNA from 1 species